GAUGAAGAACGUAGCGAAAUGCGAUAAGUAAUGUGAAUUGCAGAAUUCAGUGAAUCAUCGAAUCUUUGAACGCACAUUGCGCCCGCCAGUAUUCUGGCGGGCAUGCCUGUUCGAGCGUCAUUUCAACCAUCAAGCCCCAGGCUUGUGUUGGGGACCUGCGGCUGCCGCAGGCCCUGAAAACCAGUGGCGGGCUCGCUGUCACACCGGGCGUAGUAGAUUUUAUCUCGCUCAGGGCGUGCUGUGGGUUCCGGCCGUUAAAAAGCCUUUUUUACCCAAGGUUGACCUCGGAUCAGGUAGGAAUACCCGCUGAACUUAAGCAUAUCAAUAAGCGGAGG
rnacentral:misc_RNA from 1 species